rnacentral:rRNA from 1 species
GCUUGUCUCAAAGAUUAAGCCAUGCAUGUCUAAGUAUAAGCAAUUUGUACUGUGAAACUGCGAAUGGCUCAUUAAAUCAGUUAUAGUUUAUUUGAUCUUACCUUACUACUUGGAUAACCGUGGUAAUUCUAGAGCUAAUACAUGCAAAAAUGGGCGACUUCUGGAAGCUCAGUAUUUAUUAGAUAAAAAACCAAUCAGCGCAAGCUGUCUACUGGUGAAUCAUGAUAAUUAAGCGGAUCGCAUGGCCUUGUGCUAGCGACAGUCCACUCGAUUUUCUGCCCUAUCAUGGUUGAGAUUGUAAGAUAGAGGCUUACAAUGCCUACAACGGGUAACGGGGAAUUAGGGUUCGAUUCCGGAGAGGGAGCCUGAGAAACGGCUACCACAUCCAAGGAAGGCAGCAGG